rnacentral:rRNA from 1 species
AUGAGUUACAUGGGGCAGUGUGGUUCUCGAAAUUGGAUCUUCGGUCAGGAUACCAUCAAAUUCGGUUGGCACCAGGUGAGGAGUACAAAACAGCGUUCCAAACCCAUUCAGGUCACUAUGAAUUCAAGGUGGUUUCCUUUGGGUUGGCUGGGGGUCCGGCCACUUUCAACGGAGGACUCCAUACCACACUCCAACCCCUGCUCCGCCACUGUGUGUUGCUGUUCUUCGACGACAUUCUCGUCUUCAGUAAAACUCUUAAAGAUCAUGCCAGUCAUCUGCGACAAGUGUUCCAACUGCUACAGCGAGAUCAGUGGAAAGUAA